rnacentral:rRNA from 1 species
AGUGAACGCUGGCGGUAUGCCUAACACAUGCAAGUCGAACGGCAGCACAGUAAGAGCUUGCUCUUACGGGUGGCGAGUGGCGGACGGGUGAGGAAUACAUCGGAAUCUACUUUUUCGUGGGGGAUAACGUAGGGAAACUUACGCUAAUACCGCAUACGACCUACGGGUGAAAGCAGGGGAUCUUCGGACCUUGCGCGAUUGAAUGAGCCGAUGUCGGGUUAGCUAGUUGGCGGGGUAAAGGCCCACCAAGGCGACGAUCCGUAGCUGGUCUGAGAGGAUGAUAGGCGACCUUGGAAGUGGGACACGCUCCAGGCGACUAAGGGACGGACCAGUGGGGAACAUUGGGCAACGGUCGGGAGCAUGACACAGUGGUACGGAGUGGGAGGAAGCGGCGCUCCGGUUGUAAAGACGUCCUGUUGGUAAAAAACCGCAGCCGGCUAAUACGAAGCUGCUGUGACGGUACCCAAAGAAUAAGCACCGGCUAACUUCGUG